rnacentral:rRNA from 1 species
UCGGUUCGGAACAACUGAGGGAAACUUCAGCUAAAACCGGAUACGCCCUGAGGGGGAAAGUUUACGCCGAAAGAUCGGCCCGCGUCAGAUUAGGUAGUUGGUGGGGUAAAGGCCUACCAAGCCGAUGAUCUGUAGGUGGUCUGAGAGGAUGAUCACCCACACUGGGACUGAGACACGGCCCAGACUCCUACGGGAGGCAGCAGUGGGGAAUAUUGGACAAUGGGCGCAAGCCUGAUCCAGCCAUGCCGCGUGGAUGAAGAAGGCCCUAGGGUUGUAAAGUCCUUUCGACGGAGACGAUAAUGACGGUAUCCGUAGAAGAAGCCCCGGCUAAUUUCGUGCCAGCAGCCGCGGUAAUACGAAAGGGGCUAGCGUUGUUCGGAAUUACUGGGCGUAAAGCGCACGUAGGCGGUCGUGUAAGAUGGGGGUGAAAUCCCGGGGCUCAACUCCGGAACUGCGUUUGUGACUGCAAGGCUGGAGUACGGCAGAGGGGGGUGGAAUUCCACGUGUAGCAGUGAAAUGCGUAGAGAUGUGGAGGAACACCGAUGGCGAAGGCAGCCCCCUGGGCCUGUACUGACGCUCAUGCACGAAAGCGUGGGGAGCAAACAGGAUUAGAUACCAUGGUAGUCCACGCCCUAAACGAUGUCGACUAGUUGUUCGGUGCAGCAAUGCGCUGAGUUACGCAGCUUACGCGUGAAGUCGACCGCCUGGGGAGUACGGCCGCAAGGUUAAACUCAAAGGAAUUGACGGGGACCCGCACAAGCGGUGGAUGAUGUGGAUUAA